ensembl:lncRNA
GCUUCCGAGGUCGGGGUCACGACUCGCUCGGCUUCCGCAGGCGUACCCGUUGGUGCUGUGGGCGGCGCAGCGGCGUCUCUUCCAACAUCGGGGUCGUUUCCAAAGAGAUGGCUCUUCCAGAGCCAGUGGCCAGAGUAUUAGAACUUCAGCUUCAGUAUCAGUCCAUAAAGAAGGCUGAGUGCUGAAGAACUGAUGCUUUUGCAUUGCGGUGCUGGAAAAAGACUCUUGAGAGCCCUUUGGACUGCAUGAAAGUCAAACCAGUCAAUCCUAAAGGAAAUCAACCCUGAAUAUUCAUUGGAAAGAAGCCGCCAUCUCGCCCUUGUUUGGGCAGCUGCUUUGAGGCCAGUAAAGUUCAUGUUAAGGACAUGCUCCCCUGGGCUGGGAGGUAGGCAGCCUUCAGAUUACACAGGAUUCCCAUUCCUCUAGUCACAACACCAGUCUUUUAUUUACAACCAAGGGAAUAUUUUGGCAGCCAAGUGUGAUGACAGAAUAACUUUGAAACCAAUCUAAUUUAUUUUUAAAUACUUGGCAAACUUCAAUUAAUAAUAUCGAGUUACUUAAGAUGCAUCUCAAACCCUAUCUUUGCACAUGACAUAUCUCAGGAGGGCUGCUGCAAGCCCCAGGAAGCUUACUUUCCAUCUGGGAAGUAAGAUAGUCAGAUAUUGUUCCUGCUGAGUCUCUUGCAGAUCAAGCAGUCAAAAUUGAUGGGACUUCCCUCAUGACCCAGUGGUUCGCCCUCUGCUUCUACUGCAGGGGCACAGGCUGGAUCCGUGGUCAGGGAACUAAGAUCCCAAAUGCUGUGGCAUGGCCACAAAAAAAAUUACCAAAUUGAAGUAACACCAUAGGGAUGUAUUACUUUAGGAAGGGCUCUCUCCAUUCCGUCUAUAAGACUUUUAUUUCUUGUUGAUAUUUUUUCCUAAAAUCAAACAGUACUUGCUCAGCACCUAAUACUGGUUGGGUGCCAUAGGGUCAGACAAACAGUGUGUGAAAUGGUCUCUGGUCAUGAGUGCGUGUGUAGCUGGGGAGACGAACACUUCAAAUAUCAGGGAACAAACAGAAGAGUGGGUUUUAUAACGUGGAUGAAAAAGGCAGCAAGGAGACAACCUGAGAGUUGAACCUGGAAGGGAGGGUAGGAUCUGAGGCUGGAUGAGAAGAGGAAGGACUUAGAGGCAGAAAGAGCAAACCUGGGAAAGAGAUGGAGAUAGGGAGUCAGGUGCUGUGAGGGAGCAGCCAGGCACCCCAGACUUCAGGAGCAGGAAACACACAGUGCAGACACGGGGCCAGAUUAUGGCGGCAGAGGCGGCAAGCUGACCACAGCUCCCUCUCAUUGCCCUGUGUCAGUCCUUACCACUUAGCAGCACUUGGUUCUACCCCACAGAACUUCAAAUAAACACCUCUGCCUCCCUCCUAAUACAGAUGAUCAAGGGUCAACAGACAUUUCAGAAAAAUGGGAAGGAUAAAGAGGAAAAAACAAACUUCUAAGAGGAAAAAUAUUAAAAAGUUUAUUAUCUGCAGCUUUUGGAGAUAAUAGUGAAAGAAAAAGUAUAUCAAAGAGCAUUCAGAAAAUAGCUCUUGAGAAUUUUUUUAAAGCAAUAAUUUCAUGUUAAAAAUUGAUUCAAGAGAAGAUAAAUUUGAUGAUGACUCUUGGAUAAUAGAACAAACAAAAAAAAAAAAAAAAGAGAGAGAGAGAGAGAGGAAAACAUAAGAAAGACCCAGCAAUGCCCAGCACAACAAACCUAUGAAGAUUCCAAGGAUGGCACAGUAUCACAAAAUGUCAGGACACCAGGGAUAAAGGGCCUUAAAGAGUUUCCAUAAGGAAAAACAGGAUACAUUUAGGGAUUGGAAACCAGGAUGGCAUGGAAAGUCUCAACAGAAUUCCAGGAAACUGAAAUUCAGUAGAGCACUAAGUUUCAAAAUUCUGAAAAAAAAAAAAAACAACCACAAACAAACAUGGAAUUCUACUCAAAAUCAAAAUAUUAGUUAUAAGUGUGGGGGUAAAGAUUUUUUCAGAUAUACAGUUCAAAAAAAUUAUCUACCAAAUACUUUAUCUCAGAUACCUGCUGGAGGAUACUCUCCAAAAUUUAAGAGGCCAAGAAAAAGGAAUAUUUAGGAUCCAGACAGGGAAUCCAAGUGAAGAGAGAUGGGAAACCUCAGGACAAAAUCUAGACACACAUCUCCAGGAAAAGUCAGUCCAUAGAAUGCCUGGGGAGUUUGAGUAGUUUAAGAGGAGAUCUACAGAGUUUGGUGACAAUAUGUAAUCGAUACGUUAAAAAAUCAAUAAGCAAAUUAGGCAAUUGUUGAAUCCAGUAAAGACAAAUUGUACAAAGAAGAAAAUGUAAUCAUAGCAUAUGCCUCAACUGUGAAUAAUGAUUCCAUAAUUGUAAUGAGGUAAGUAAUGGUAACCUAAUGAAAAGGGUGCUGUAACUUUUUGAAAAAAUUAGAGGUGACCCUCUAUGGAUUCAUAACUGUGUGUGUCUAGGAAAUCCUGUGGAAGUGUUAAACUCUCAGUUUCUAGAGUUGGAAGUUUAUCGACAAUGUGCACAACUGAAAAAGAUACAGCAUUAGAAAGUUUCUCUUAAAGAAAUGUGAGCAAAUUUCAGACAAAAUAGCUAUGAGGUAAACAGGGAAAAAUUGGGAAUGCAUGGUGUGGGAAAUACCUAUGUUCUUGUAAACCUAGAAGUACUAUUUGAAUUUUAAAAUCUGUAGGCAUAUUACAUUGAUAAAAGGAAAAUAUAUUAAGUUUUAAAAAGUAAGUUGCAUGUACAGUGAUAGUAAGUUGCAC